GCCGGUGUGUUGGCUCGUAAUAAAGGCGGUGAGAGAACAGCUAGCUAGACGCACCCACAUUAUAUACGGCCUUUUACCUAACCAACAUUACGGCGAUGGAGCUCUUAACUCCGUUACUAGUGCCCAAAUUACCGAAGUACCCACGCCUGAUUCUCGUUGUGACUGACUGAGUGACUGUUACACCUUCAAAAUUAGGGUAAACAAUUUCAAAUAAGAGCAUGCUACAUCCUUUGAGAUAUGACUUAUCCAUUUAAAAUGAAAAGUUACUCGUUCUUCUUCAAGAUUAAUGAAAAGUUUAAAAUUUACGAUACUUAAAAUGAUAUAAAUUGAGAAUAAUUUAUACUCUCACGAUAUGGAGAAAAUAAUGAGAACUUAUAUUUUCUACCUAUGUUUGAAUCCUCUAAUACAUUAGUAAACUUGAUUUUCAAAGUUUAGAUACGGAUUUAAAUUUUUGUUAAAUUUUUACAUUAGAAUUGCGCUAUGAUAAUUUUUCCUUAAAGAAAAAGUGGACAAAGUCUAAAUUAAUUUUUUAAUCUUUUUAUUUUUUUAUAAGAUUCGAAUUCAGAUAGCUAGUAAUUGAAAUUUUUUUGAAAACUAUUGAGUUAGACUCCUAAGACCGUGCCGUCACAUAAUUAAUUUAAAAAAUUACGUCUAUUUCUAAUUAUAAAUACAAAACAUAUUUAUAAUAAUAUGUAUAUAUAUAAUACACGAAAAACAGAAUCUCUCCCAAAUCAAAGACUUGGUCCACAGGGAAAGCGCACAGUAUAAGAAACGAGAAUUUCAAAGAAAAGCACUCGCCUUCUCUCCCGCAUUGACUGCUCCACUCCAUCCAACUUUUC
rnacentral:lncRNA from 1 species